AAGGAGUGUGCACGUAUGAAUAUGGAAGAAUAUUAACUACUAAACACAUUACUAAUGGGAUUUCACCGAACAUGCUACUUCAGGGAAAUUAGUGGAUUGGUUAAGUGAAAAAAUAAUAUUAAUGUGGUGAUGUUUAUUAUCAACUAAUGUAAUUUAUAUUGACGAUAUUUUGUGGAAAUCUAAAUCCUUUGUCAGUUGUUCUUGGCUUAUGAGUUCAUAGCUCAUAUGUAAAGUGUAGACUCAAAUCUUUUGGAAAAAAAUGUGUAUAUAUGGAGACAGAGACUUAUUAAAGGGGAAAUAAUGGGUGACAUGUACAAAUUGAUAGCAAAAAAUUAGUGUAAAAUUUUGGUACAUUUAGGCAUUAGAUAAUAAACUUAGCUGCAUAAAAUGGCCUAUGCUCAAUUUGGAAUGCUAAACUAGCUUAUCUAAUCAUUCUUAUAUAGCUUCCCUCCAUUUUACGUUUACAAGCAGAAUUCUGAAAUGGAAAAAUAAUCAUACUGCUUCUUUAUUUGAACAUAAAAUUUCCACCAUGAACGAUGUCAGUGUUUUGGUAGGCUUUGAAGUUUACCUUGUUGGAGGAUGUGUAAGGGACCUGAUCUUAAGACGAACUGAUGGGAACCUAGUCAGCAAGGUUGCAAUCGAACCCACAGGAAUUGACACCGGAUCCCAAGAAUGGCCAAAUACGACCAAGGUUUAGGAUUUAAUUCCCAAACGUUGAACCAAGCAACCGAAGGUAUAUUAAACUAACGACCUCUUGAUCACAAAGUCUCGUAAUCUCACCCGAAUUUUGGACUUAAACCAAUAAAAUUAUAAACCAAAAAACCUAGCAAGAACGAUGCUUGAAAGACCUCUUGAUUACAUAACCCAAAGAUCCAACCCGAUGUUUCUGUUUGAGCGCCACAAGAUAUUAAAUUUUGAUAAGUUCGAUAAUUUGAAGCAAAAGUUUUGAGAGAAAAUAUCUUAUUCAAUUCACG
rnacentral:lncRNA from 1 species